rnacentral:misc_RNA from 1 species
GAUGAAGAACGUAGCGAAAUGCGAUAAGUAAUGUGAAUUGCAGAAUUCAGUGAAUCAUCGAAUCUUUGAACGCACAUUGCGCCCGCCAGUAUUCUGGCGGGCAUGCCUGUUCGAGCGUCAUUUCAACCCUCAGGCCCCCAGUGCCUGGUGUUGGGGAUCGGCCCAGCCUUCCUGUAAGGCCGCCGGCCCCGAAAUCUAGUGGCGGUCUCGCUGUAGUCCUCCUCUGCGUAGUAGCACAACCGCGCAGUUGGAACGCGGCGGUGGCCAUGCCGUUAAACACCCCACUUCUGAAAGUUGACCUCGGAUCAGGUAGGAAUACCCGCUGAACUUAAGCAUAUCAAUAAGCGGAGGA